UGUUCUGUAAAAGAUUCAAAAGCAAGACUUGAUUACAAAUUCUACUUAUCUACUUCAAAGCCACAAUUCAUCAGACUUGCUUUACUCGCUGACUGGAAUCAUAAGUAUGUUUCCAGUGUUUGUAUUGUUACAGCUGAAUUUCAGAAUAUCAGUGUUUCUCAAAUUUGGUAGAGUCUUACUGAGCUUGAAGGCAGGUGUGCUGUCUCAAAAAUAGAGUGGCAUUGAGUGUCUUGCAAUAAAACCUUGUUUCCUUUCUAUAAAGUCAGCUCACUGAAACUUAUCUGGUUUCUUGCUAGGUAACUCCAACUAACGUUUCUUGGUGAAGGCCUUUGUGUCAAAUCUUAGUAAAAAUGGAACUGCGUUUGGAUUCUGCCAUUGCAUUAAAUGUUGGUCCAGGCUCUCUGUAUAUGUGCAUUCCUCCACUGGUGAAUAGUAGAAAAGGUUUUCUUUUUUGGAUUAACUCUUAUGGAAAAAUCAAGUAGGAGCCCUAAUCUUAAAUUUACAUGGGCUCUGUGACAAAGAGUGUGUCCUUGUUCCUUUUUUGUUUAUACAUAGCACUGAUUUCCACUCACACAGUGCAUGAUAAAACUCCAACCUUCUCCACUUACCAUAUUUCGGUGUUGUAAUUGUACAUGGUGAACUUGCUUAUGCAUUGACUCAGGUUGCUGUGCUGAAAAGAUAAAUCCCUCCCUGUAAGCCUGUACGGUACAUGUCAAACUAUGUUUUUU